rnacentral:lncRNA from 1 species
GGCAGACGCCUUGUUAUCUUCAUCUUAGGAUAGCCAGUUCCCAACACAGUGCCUGCUGCAAAUUAUCAGUAAUAACAGGCCGUUAACUCCCCUGCUGGUCCCUAUCCAUGGAGCCCAUUGACAGAUGAGUUUGGUUCUGGACCUGAGGAGGACAGUUACAGACACAGAUAUCUUUUAAGAAUCUUCCCUUCAGAGAAUACUAGAAAGUGUUCAGUAUGUUAAGCCCUUAAAAAUAAAUUCUGGCCGGGCGCAGUGGCUCACGCAUGUAAUCCCAGCACUUGGGGAGGCCGAGGUGGGUGGAUCACAAGGUCAGGAGAUCAAGACCAUCCUGGCUAACAUGGUGAAACCCCGUCUCUACUGGGCGCCUGUAGUCCCAGCUACUCGGGAGGCUGACGCGGGAGAAUGUCGUGAACCCGGGAGGGGGAGCUUGCAAUGAGCCGAGAUCGCGCCACUGCACUCCAGCCUGGGAUACAGAGCGAGACUCCAUCUCCAAAAAAA